AUGCAGUCGUACGAGAAAGUUGGCUUCGGCCGAUGAGUAAAGUGGCGCACGGGUGAGUAACGCGUGGAUAAUCUACCUUUUAGUUUGGAAUAACGUACCGAAAGGUGCGCUAAUACCGGAUAAUACUGAGUGACUACUGUUGCUUAGUCAAAGAAGGCUUCUGUUUACAUGCUUUUGCUGAAAGAUGAGUCCGCGUACCAUUAGCUAGUUGGUAGGGUAAUGGCCUACCAAGGCUACGAUGGUUAGCUGGUCUGAGAGGAUGAUCAGCCACACUGGAACUGAGACACGGUCCAGACUCCUACGGGAGGCAGCAGUGAGGAAUAUUGCGCAAUGGGGGCAACCCUGACGCAGCAACGCCGCGUGAGUGAGGAAGGUUUUCGGACCGUAAAGCUCUGUCGAGCGGGAAGAAAUGCAUGGUGGCUAAUAUCCAUCAUGCUUGACGGUACCGCUAAAGGAAGCACCGGCUAACUCCGUGCCAGCAGCCGCGGUAAUACGGGGGGUGCAAGCGUUGUUCGGAAUUAUUGGGCGUAAAGAGCGUGUAGGCGGCUGAAUAAGUCAGAUGUGAAAUCCCUGGGCUUAACCCAGGACGUGCAUUUGAAACUAUUCAGCUUGAGUAGGGGAGAGGAAAGUGGAAUUCCUGGUGUAGAGGUGAAAUUCGUAGAUAUCAGGAGGAACACCGGUGGCGAAGGCGACUUUCUGGCCCUAUACUGACGCUGAGACGCGAGAGCGUAGGUAGCAAACAGGAUUAGAUACCCUGCUAGUCCACGCUGUAAACGAUGU
rnacentral:rRNA from 1 species